rnacentral:lncRNA from 1 species
AUUAAAACAAACACUUCUCACUAGUUCCAAUUUGUUAUUUUAAUGGAAGUAAUCAAGUUUAAUUCUAGAUAAAUUACAUCUCACAGCUGAUCCUACAAAAUACUCAACGUCUCAACGGUAAUUUGUUGUACAUUUUCUUGAUAAUUUGCCUCAACCAGUGAGACUGAGUGAAACAAUACACUACAAAUGUUGAUAUAGAGCACAGUGUAAUGGUAGGUGAAAAAAGAGUGGAGAAAGAUACAAGAGGGUCAUUUAAACGGUAGGUGAAAGCUGUGAUUAGGGAUACUUAAACAUGCAUGAACUUCUUAAAAAGUAAAAUCACAAAAAUACUAAUACAGUAUUAGUUGCUUUUUCUUAUUACUAUUAUCAUUGGAGAAUUUUUUCCGGAGUAUAAAAAAAAUCAGUCUUGACAUUAAUUAACAUUGUAUUCUGAAUUAAUGUCUUGUCAGUACUAUUUUAUCUGCGUUGGUAUAUUAGAAUUUAAGAAUUUUGACAUUAACAUUGUGUCUGAUUUUAUGUCUUGACACUAACAUUUAAGUUAUAAUUUAUUUAAAUAAUAAAAUACUAGGACUUCCCUUAAUUAAUCAUAUGAUAGUUAAUAUGAUUUCUCUUUAUGAAUGUUAUAAAGUUUGAAUUAAGUCAGAUUGGUGAAAAAAGAUUUACCAGUAAUAUUCUUGUAAAAGGCUGUCUACCACUAACAAUCUAAAAGAAAUGAACUUAUCAAGACAGCGAGUGAAGAAGACCAACCCAGGUGAAGCCCCCCUUUUUUGUGGGAAACAUGUGGUUGACUAUUUGAAAAUUACCUGAAGCAUGAUUGGAGUGAGUGCCCACUUAGGCAGUCAUUGAAAAAUUCUGGAUCAACCACUAAACACUUUCCACAGAUCCUACUUUUAUUUAAAUAUUGAUAGUUUAAUUCAUCUCUACAUUUUUCUAAAUAGGGAUUCAAUUUUAUCCAAGAUCAAGGGUUUGUUCUUUAAUAAUACUACUAAGUUUGCAUGUGAAUGGGCAGUUAAAACAUAUCUUUAAAUAUUGUGAAUUGUAUUCAAAAUUUUCAAACUUCAUGGGUAUAUUCUUUAUUAGGUAAAGUCUGACAGUAUUUGACAACUUUGAAAAUAUACUACAUUUAGAAGAAAUUGAACUUGGAAUUAUUCCAUUAAAAUCAAUUAGCAUGAUCCUAAAUUAUAAUCCAAAUGUAAAGUUUUUAAAAAACAUGAAUAAUCUGAUGCCUUAUUUACUCUCAUCCAAGUUUAUUGGUUCACCUUAUAAAACUGAAUCUAUCUGAAUAAAAGGAGGAAAGGGAUAUUUACCUUAGUUAGUACAGUCUAACCACUUAUUAAAGUCACCUUUUGAAUCAACCUGUCAGACCCCUUUCUUUUUUCCCCAACUGUAGUAAAAGCUAAACAUUUUGAACUUCAAUUAAAAAUCUUCUCUUUUCUUAGAUCCAUUUUCUCUGGGUCCACCUUUAUUUAUAGGUUGUAAAAGCUUAACACUUUGAACUUCAAUUAAAAUAUCUUCUCUUUUAUUAGGUCCGUUUUCUCUGGUCCCAUAGGGGUCCACUGGGUGACCUUUAUUUGUAGGUUGUAAAAGCUCUAAACAUUUUGAAUUUCAAUUCAAAGGUUGUCUUAUCUAUUAGGUCCUAUUUCUCUGGUCCAGAGGGUGGCAUUUAUAUAUAAAUAUGACUGUACCAUUUCUCUAAGGUCAAAUUUCUCUGGUCCCCAGGGGGUCUACAGGGUAACCUUUAUUUACAGGUUUGACUGCAACAUAUUUCACCUACCAAUUACACAUGUGCUCACAUGACUGCAAUUGGAAAGGAGACGUUAAGAAUAUGACAAAUUAAAUUAAUAUUUACAAAGACUUCUUUUCACAAAUCUAUUACAUACAUACAUUUCAAUUUUUUAAGAGGAAUCACAUUAUUUGAAAAAAAAAGAUACUCCUCAAAAAAAUAUUCACUUGUCAUUAUGGCAAAAAAAGUUAAACAAUUGUACGGCACACACGCACCCUCACACACACCAAUAAUAUACAAUUAAUUUCUCAUUAUAAACACUCAUACACAAAAUACACAUAGAAAAUUAUAUCUAUUAUGAGUAAAUCUAAAAAUAACUUCUCCCUAUAAAAGCCCCUUAUUCUAAUAUUAGAUGUGUACUCCAUUUCUAAACAAAAUUCAUUAUAUUAAGUAAGAUCUUGCAAGUAAAAUAUAUUUUCUCCAUUGUUUCCCCUUGUUGGCAAAGAUAUUUGUUUGUUUACUUUACAAUAUAUAUAUGGUUCACUUUCUUUGGUAAUUUUAAGACUUCAAUUCAGCCCAUUUCAUCUGAACAAAAUUUUCCAUUCUGUCGGAUUUGUUUUGUUUUUUUUGCUUCAGAAACUAAAACAUUGUCAACAUUAAUAUAUGGUCCAUUAUUUUUUUGGGCUUGUAAUUAGUAGAAGAAAUGUAUUCAAUGUCAUAUUAUGAUAUCAACCUUUGAAUAAUAAAAAUUACACUUUAUGGUGUAUAAUAAUACAAACCUUUGAAUAAUGAAAAAAAAAUUCCACAAUAUUACAAAAUCUAUCAAUCAUUUUUUGGUAUAACAGAUAAAAAUUCUCAAAAAUAUCUAAAUACAAUUUUUUGUACAGAUUUUUUGGUAUUGGGUAAAAAAGACAAUUACUGAGGAUGGUCUUAAGAAUUUUUAACCAGUUAUUUUUCAAUAUAUUAUAUUCUUCAGAGUAUCAGAUAUUUGACUUGCGGUUUGUGGACCUAACAAAAUAUAUUUUAAUAAUGUCAGUUUAUUCUUGCAGUACAGUCUUCCUUUUAUAGUCGAAACAAUCAAUGUGACUUGAAAAGAGAUGUGAAUGUAUUUAAUAUAAAAAUAGGGUUCACACGGAUAAUUGUUUCUUUAAAAGUCAGGAGGUUUUAAAAGUUUAAACCUAUGUUUUGCACUUACUCUGCCAUAUUGUUCAAGCUACCAGUCUGGCUGAAUGUGAUAACAAAAAUACAGAAAUGUCCUUUCUUCAUUUCUAACUUUCUUGCCGAUUAAAGAGUAUCAGCAGAUGAUUUUUUAUCUUUUAUUUAUCAUCUAUUAAGCAGAAAAUGUCACUGCUAGAAAAUCUGAGUCUAUUAAAAGAGUUAAUAAUAAAUUUAGAUUAACUAUACUAAAAUUACGUUUCUUUAGAGAAAUUAUUGUGAAUACAACCUUAAACAAAACAAAUAAUAUACAAUAUGAGUGUUUACAGGGUUUGCCUUAAUUUCAGAGCAUCAUGUAUGAAUGUGUGAAUAAAUAAAAUAUUAAAUCACCAACUACCAUAUCUGAUCUUAUAAGUAUCUAUUAUCUCUUUUAAAUUCAAUACUGUGCACAAAAGAUUACUUUCUUGGUGUAUAAAUUUCCCAAUUUCUAGGACCAAACCAGUUCCCAAGGGUUUAUUCUUAUGUUUUCCUCAUCCAGACUUCAGAUCUUCUUUAAUGAUUUGUGAUGAAAUAGUUUUGCCAUUUAUCCUAAUUGCAAAUUAAGGGGGAAAUACACUCUCAAGGAAAUUUCUUUUUACAAUUGAAAUAAUGGAGACAAAAAAAAAUGCAUUCUCCACUGCUACUUUUGCUUAGGGAGCUACCAUUUGAUUUUUAUGGGGGGCUAGGAUGAUAAAUUUUGUCCCGCUUUUUUUUUUUAGUUGUAAUCUCUGUCCUGCCUUUUUAUUUUUUACACUAUUCGGUCCUGCCUUUUUUUUUACUAGUUUAUCCUGACUUUUUUUACCCAAAUUGUCAUCCUGUCUUUUUUUUUGCCAAGAUGCUCAUCCUGCUUUUUUUUUUACUCAAACUCCUGUCCUGCCUAUUUUUUUCAAAUUUCAUCCUAGCCUCCCCAUAAAAAUCAAAUGGUAGCUCCCUUAUUUAAAAAGUAAACUGCAAUUGUAGUAACAGACUGGUCAUUGUCCAAUUAUGUGCCACAAAUGGCAGAAAUCAGUAAUGGCCUGGUUACAAGGUUAACAAUCAAUAUAAUGAAGGGUCACCAGAGAUCCAAAACGUAAAAUCUUUGUGAUGAAAGUUACCUUUGCAUGAGACAAAAGUAUACUUUCUAUGGAGUGCUGUACAGUACAUGCUAAAAUAAGAGUUUUUAAAUAAGAGUACUAUACAGAAUGUGUUCAUAUUAAAAGGAUGCCCCACUCCCACUAUCAUUUUCUAUGUUCAGUAGACUGUGAAAUUGUGUUUAAAACUCUAAUUUAGAAUUAAAAAGAGAGAGAUCAUAUCAUAGGGAACAUGUGUACUAAGUUUCAAGUUGAUUGGACCUCAACUUUAUCAAAAACUACCUUGACCAAACACUUUUACCUGAAGCUGGACAGACGAACGAACUGACAGAUCAAAAGACGCACAGACCAAAAAACCUAAUGCACCUAGGAGGGGCAUAUUGUUUUUUUAUGUAAACCUGAAAUAAUUAAUACAAGUGCAAAGAAGACAAUGACAUUUGUACAAUGAUAUUUGUAAGAUCCGAUAUGGUAUUUGGUCAAAACACCUUGAUAUGGUAAAUUAAUUGUAAUGCCUCAAGUUAUCUGUCAACAGAUAUGGUGUAAAAUUAGUCCAUUGUAACUACAACAAAAAUGUAAAUAAAAGA